GCUAUCGGAUUGAUACUAAGCCAUGCGAGUCAUUGUAGCAAUACAAGGCAGACGGCUCAGUAACGCGUAGUCAACCUACCCUAUGGACGGGAAUAACCUCGGGAAACUGAGUAUAAUGCCCGAUAGAACAUUAUGCCUGGAAUGGUUUAUGUUCCAAAUGAUUUAUCGCCGUAGGAUGGGACUGCGGCCUAUCAGUUUGUUGGUGAGGUAAUGGCCCACCAAGACUAUUACAGGUACGGGCUCUGAGAGGAGUAGCCCGGAGAUGGGUACUGAGACACGGACCCAGGCCCUAUGGGGCGCAGCAGGCGAGAAAACUUUGUAAUGUGCGAAAGCACGACAAGGUUAAUCCGAGUGGUUUCUGCUAAAGGAACCUUUUGUUAGUCCUAAAAACACUAACGAAUAAGGGGUGGGCAAGUUCUGGUGUCAGCCGCCGCGGUAAAACCAGCACCUCAAGUGGUCAGGAUGAUUAUUGGGCCUAAAGCAUCCGUAGCCUGCUCUGUAAGUUUUCGGUUAAAUCUGUAUGCUCAACAUACAGGCCGCCGGGAAUACUGCAGGGCUAGGGAGUGGGAGAGGUAGACGGUACUCGGGAGGAAGUGGUAAAAUGCUUUGAUCUCUCGAUGACCACCUGUGGCGAAGGCGGUCUACCAGAACACGUCCGACGGUGAGGGAUGAAAGCUGGGGGAGCAAACCGGAUUAGAUACCCGGGUAGUCCCAGUCGUAAACUAUGCAAACUCAGUGAUGCAUUGGCUUGUGGCCAAUGCAGUGUUGCAGGGAAGCCGUUAAGUUUGCCGCCUGGGAAGUACGUACGCAAGUAUGAAACUUAAAGGAAUUGGCGGGGAGCACCACAAGGGUGAAGCUGCGGU
rnacentral:rRNA from 1 species